CCUACGGGUGGCAGCAGUGGGGAAUAUUGCACAAUGGGGGGAACCCUGAUGCAGCGACGCCGCGUGAGUGAAGAAGUAUUUCGGUACGUAAAGCUCUAUCAGCAGGGAAGAAAAAAGGACGGUACCUGAGUAAGAAGCCCCGGCUACCUACGUGCCAGCAGCCGCGGUAAUACGUAGGGGGCAAGCGUUAUCCGGAAUUACUGGGUGUAAAGGGAGCGUAGACGGCAAUGCAAGUCCGGAGUGGAAUGCGGCAGCUCAACUGCCGAACUGCUCUGGAAACUGUAUGGCUUGAGUGCAGGAGGGGUAAUCGGAAUUCCUUGUGUAGCGGUGAAAUGCGUAGAUAUAAGGAAGAACACCAGUGGCGAAGGCGGAUUACUGGACGAUAACUGACGGUGAGGCGCGAAAGCGUGGGGAGCAAACAGGAUUAGAUACCCGAGUAGUC
rnacentral:rRNA from 1 species